GGAGGAAAUCAAAGCGGAGAGGAUGCCCGAGGUGAGAGAGGAGGAAAUUCUUGGGUUUGGAUGGAGAGGAGGACAUUUCCUCCUCUCUCGCCUCGGGCAUCCUCUCCGCUUUGAUUUCUCCCCU
rnacentral:pre_miRNA from 1 species